rnacentral:rRNA from 1 species
GACGAACGCUGGCGGCGUGCCUAAUACAUGCAAGUCGAACGAGAGCGACCGGUGCUUGCACUGGUCAAUCUAGUGGCGAACGGGUGAGUAACACGUGGGUAACCUGCCCAUCAGAGGGGGAUAACAUCCGGAAACGGAUGCUAAAACCGCAUAGGUCUUCGAACCGCAUGGUUUGAAGAGGAAAAGAGGCGCAAGCUUCUGCUGAUGGAUGGACCCGCGGUGCAUUAGCUAGUUGGUGAGGUAACGGCUCACCAAGGCCGUGAUGCAUAGCCGACCUGAGAGGGUGAUCGGCCACAUUGGGACUGAGACACGGCCCAAACUCCUACGGGAGGCAGCAGUAGGGAAUCUUCCGCAAUGGACGCAAGGCUGACGGAGCAACGCCGCGUGAGUGAAGAAGGUUUUCGGAUCGUAAAACUCUGUUGUUAGAGAAGAACAAGUGCUAGAGUAACUGUUAGCGCCUUGACGGUAGCUAACCAGAAAGCCACGGCUAACUACGUG